rnacentral:rRNA from 1 species
CACGGUGAAAAUAGCGAACAAAAAUCACCUCUUCCCAUUCCGAACAGAGAAGUAAAGAUUGUUCGAGCCAAUGGUACUGCAAACGCGGAAGAGUAGGUAUCGCCAUCU